GCAUGGUAUCAUUUUACAGUAUUAUGUCAUUUUAUCUUCUGUCUGGGGAGUAUAUCCUACCUAGAUGGACUCUUCAAUAGAGAUUUGUUUCUGUUUAAAUAUUAUCUUGUUCUAUAAUACACAUCACAGAGCUUCUUAUAAAAUAGCUACUACAUUGGGGUACACAUGCUCAAGUGUUGGUUUUACAAGAUAAAGGGCCAUUUUCUUAUUUAUUUAAGGUCCUCUAUCCCCACUUUAAAGCCUCUUUUACAAUGAUGAGUUGGUGGAUACAAGAAUCAGCCCCACAGUACUCAGGAUUUUGAAAGAAGGACUGACGUGUAAAUCUUUCACUGUAAGCUGUGCAUCCGUAAAUAUGCAGGUUACGUUAUAUGCUAUCAGAAAUUUUAGUGUUGUAUCCUAUGUUUUUUGCUUUUUGUGUCCUGGUGUAACACAUCUAAAGCAAACCACCACUUGAUAUGAUUGCUCUGUUUGGCUGUAUUCAUCUUUUCUUCUGCUCUAACAUCUUAAAAGAAACUGUAUUCAAUAAUAAUUUAUGUACUGCUUGCUUGCAAUAUGUGAUGUGUCUAGAUGUUGCAGUGUGUACUAAUGUAAUAGUGCAGAGGAAGAAAAGCAUCAUAAUAAGUUAACAGAAUUAAAACCUUGUACAGUAAUUUGUUCAGGACAAAUGUAGAUGUUUUAACAGUCACUUUAUGUUAGCACUGAAAUCUAUCGAAAAGAAACAUGUAGUAUGAUUAUGAUUCUGUUUCUGAUUUGGUUUCGUGCAAUAGAAGAAAAAAAACAAUAGGCUAACUUACAUUUUUCCUUUCUGAAAUAUUAAAUCAUUAAGGCAAGAUGUUCUUCUAUAAAGUGUUUUCCUUGUAAUUAGAAAAACCCAGAGUAUUUUUUUUCUUUGAACUGAGGCUUUUUUUCCUUUGUGUAGUUGUCUCUCAAGUUAAAACCAUGUAAGUGUUCUACCUCUGUCACUUUUAUAUGCAUGUGUGAAGUACCUAACUCAUUCAUCUUAUAUGCUUGGUGCACUUAAGAAAUGAGUGACUGUUUUUCAGAUUUUUCACCGCAGCAUGGAAAUGUUGCUUUUAGAGACAUCACUGAGACUUUUUGUCUCUAAGGCCUGGUCUACACUACAAAGAUAGGUCAACAUAAGCUGCUGUGCAUCAACCUCGUUGUACAUGUGUCUUCACAUAAACUUGUCUCCCACCUGUAGCCCAUAGGGCUAGCUGCCUUUAAUUAUAUUCACUGCCUUGCCUUCAUUAUAUUUUGUCUUUAUUAUAUUCUGUAGUAAUGCAAGGAACCUACAUGUUUUGCUAAAUGUAUUAAUACAUUAUUUUAAAUAUAGAAGACCUCCUACAGUGUGAGUGUUGCAGCCGUGGACAUCAGGGUUCCCAACUAAAUAUUAAUUUUAAUAAUACUGGGCCUGAUAUUGGGACAAGAACCUAUCAACCCACAAAACAAUAACUGGAAAUUCUUAAGUAAUCAAUAUAAUUAAUACAUACAUAAUAUAUAAUCUAUAGAUCAGACUACACACCAACGUUAGCACCCCAUUACUCUGACAUAGUAACACCACCUCCCAGAGCAGCAUUGACUCACAGUCAAUGUACAGAGAUUGAUGCAGUGCGAGUGUAGAUGCUGCAUUACUUUAUAUCAACACUAAUAGUCCUCCAACGGCUGUCCCACAGUGCCAGACACUGAUGGCUGUGCUCACAAUUGUGAGCUCCACUGCUUGGGGUCACGUAGAUCAGAAGUCCCUCCUCCCCCCACUUAAAACCCCCACAAAUUUUUGAAUGCCUUUUGCUGGUUGGCCAGCUUGAUGAGCAUACCUCUAUCUGCUCUCUGUCAUGCACAGCUGACCAGCUGACCAGACAUGCUCCUACCUGGAAUAGACAGUAGAUAUUGGAUCUCCUGAACCUGUGGGGAGAAGAGGCUGUACAGGCACAACUCCAAACCAGUGGUAGAAAUGUCAACAUGUACAAGCAGAUUGCUCAGGGUAGGCAAUAGAAGGGAUAUGACUGAGACCAGCGGCACUGCCACAUGAAAGCCAAGGAACUGCAGCAGGCAUACCAGAAGGCCAGGGAGGUCAACAGUCGAUUCAGUGAGCUGCGUGCCAUACUCAGCAGAGACGCCACCACCCCACACACCACUGUGGUUACUUCUGCGAAGCCUGAGUCACAGGCCCCUGUCGUGAACGACAAGGAGGAGGUAGGGGAGGAGGAUGGGGACAGACAUCCAAGGGAUCCAGCUGUGCAAUAAACCAGGUCCUGUUUUUGACUCCACCACAAUCCAGCCAAUCCCACCAGUCAAGUACAGGCAAGCCCGAUGAAGGGGAAGGAACCUCGGCUGUGGCUGUUGUGGCCUUGAUGGCGACCCCCUCCAUAUCAGAAGAACUACUGAGCCAGAUAAGGAGGAGGGGGAAAAAAGGACACGGAGGACAUGCUCUUCAAGAUCCUCGAAGCCAGUGCUGCAUCAGACCUUGACCAGAGGGCCUGGAGAGUGAAUGUUGCAGAUUGUAUGGAGAUGGAAAGAGCAGACAGAAAAAAGAUGCAGCAGGAAAAGGAAAGGGAGAUGCACAAGGACAUAAUGGGGCUUCUCCAGCAGCAAUCUCAGAUUCUGCAAACUCUUGUGGACCUCCAGGCUCAACUCUCAUUGUAGUCUGUGGAUAACUGAAGCAUAGUGCCUCCCUACACUCCCCUUAUCCCUCCACCAGCAUUCCUCAUUGCCUCAGGGCCACCACAGCUACCCCUACCACCCCACAUUGGGGGAAAUUAUGGACAUCCAUAGCUUCACCUACGCUGACCUGAAAGCCACGGCUGAUGUAUGUUGUUGCUACAGUAAACAUCAAUGUUCUGUCCUCUGGUUUACUCAUUAAAAAAUUAAGGUAAAAUGUAUUUAGUUUUAAGUUCUUCAGAUGAUUUUUGGAUCUGUUUUUGUUAGUGAAUAAAACACUUUUGUUUUGAAAGUUAUUCAUCUUUAUUAGUUUACAACAUAUGAUGUAUAGUGCCUGUUGGCAGUGAAAGUAGUGGUCUUGUACACUCACUACCCAUUGGAUCAGUGCCAAACGUAGUCAUCAUAAAUGUACAGCAACUCUCCAACAUUAACAGCUGCACUGUCAUUGAUAUAUGCACAGAUAUGCAUCAAGCACUACUCAAUUCCUAAUAGGCCCUCAAACUGCCACCCAGUGUUGAACACAGUACACCUCAGCAUAUUAUUGUGGCUUGCUGUUAAAGUGCUCUUUCAAAACCUCCCUAAGCUGUAUAACUCCUUGCUGAGUUCGUCUGAUAGCCCUUGUGUCUGGCUGUUCAAACUCAGCAGACAACCACUCACUUCCACUGCAACUUUCCCCCCUUUGUUUCACAAAUAUUAUGCAGGACACAACAGGAAGCUAUAACAACUGGGAUAUGUUUCACACUACUAUCCAAUCUGGUUAGUAAACAACGUCAGCACCCUUUCGAUCUACCAAAAGCACACGCAGCUGUCAUUCUGCACCUGUUGAGCCUGUAUUUGAAUCUUUCCUUGCUGUUGUCCAGGUGAAUGGUGUAUGGCUUCAUUAUGCAGGGGAGUAAAGGGUAGGCUGGGUCCCCCAUGAUCACUAUUGGCAUUUCAACAUUGCCAAUGGUAAUCUGCUGGUCAGAAAGAAGGUCCCUGCUUGUAGCUUUCUGAACAGUCCUGUGUUCUUAAAGAUAUGAGUGCCAUGCACCUUCCCUGACCUGCCAACGUUGAUGUCAAUGAAGCGUCCCUGGUGAUUCAUCAGCACUUGGAUAACCAUGGACAAGUAGCUUCUGUAAGAGAUGUCGGACAGCAACAAGUUCCAUGCAGGUUCGUGGGAAACUGAAAAUAGGUGUGAAUAUUAUGGGAUGGAGAACACUGCAUUAUGGGAAGUUGAUCCCUUGCUCCCAGUACCACUGCGUGAGUCGUUUCUGCCUCACCAUGCAUUGCCAAAACUACCCAAAACACAGUGUGCUGAACAGUGGUGGAUUGUACACUGGAUACCUAUCAAUGAUGCACUGCAUUGUCCAUCGA